rnacentral:misc_RNA from 1 species
GAUGAAGAACGUAGCGAAAUGCGAUAAGUAAUGUGAAUUGCAGAAUUCAGUGAAUCAUCGAAUCUUUGAACGCACAUUGCGCCCGCUAGUAUUCUGGCGGGCAUGCCUGUUCGAGCGUCAUUUCAACCAUCAAGCCCUAGGCUUGCGUUGGAGCCCUGCGGCUGCCGCAGGCUCCCAAAUCCAGUGGCGGGCUCGUCGUCGUACCGAGUGCAGUAAACAUCCUCGCUCAGGGAACGUGACGGGUUCUUGCCGUGAAACCCCCCACAUAUCAAGGUUGACCUCGGAUCAGGUAGGAAUACCCGCUGAACUUAAGCAUAUCAAUAAGCGGAA